GCGGGUGUGGUUCAAUGGUAGAAUGUGAGCUUCCCAAGCUUGAGACGAGGGUUCGAUUCCCUUCACCCGCU
rnacentral:tRNA from 1 species